rnacentral:rRNA from 1 species
AAUUACACAAUGGGGGAAACCCCGAUGCAGCGACGCCGUGUGAGUGAAGCAGUAUUUCGGUAUGUAAAGCUCUAUCAGCAGGGAAGAAAAUGGCUGUACCUGAUUAAGAAGCCCCGGCUAACUACGUGCCAGCAGCCGCGGUAAUACGUAGGGGGCAAGCGUUAUCCGGAUUUACUGGGUGUAAAGGGAGCGUAGACGGCAGCACAAGUCUGGAGUGAAAUGCCGGGGCUUAACCCCGGAACUGCUUUGGAAACUGUGCAGCUAGAGUGCAGGAGAGGUAAGUGGAAUUCCUAGUGUAGCGGUGAAAUGCGUAGAUAUUAGGAGGAACACCAGUGGCGAAGGCGGAUUACUGGACUGUAACUGACGUUGAGGCUCGAAAGCGUGGGGAGCAAACAGG